rnacentral:rRNA from 3 species
GGGUUGUGAGGUUAAGCGACUAAGCGUACACGGUGGAUGCCCUGGCAGUCAGAGGCGAUGAAGGACGUGCUAAUCUGCGAUAAGCGUCGGUAAGGUGAUAUGAACCGUUAUAACCGGCGAUUUCCGAAUGGGGAAACCCAGUGUGAUUCGUCACACUAUCAUUAACUGAAUCCAUAGGUUAAUGAGGCGAACCGGGGGAACUGAAACAUCUAAGUACCCCGAGGAAAAGAAAUCAACCGAGAUUCCCCCAGUAGCGGCGAGCGAACGGGGAGCAGCCCAGAGCCUGAAUCAGUGUGUGUGUUAGUGGAAGCGUCUGGAAAGGCGCGCGAUACAGGGUGACAGCCCCGUACACAAAAAUGCACAUACUGUGAGCUCGAUGAGUAGGGCGGGACACGUGGUAUCCUGUCUGAAUAUGGGGGGACCAUCCUCCAAGGCUAAAUACUCCUGACUGACCGAUAGUGAACCAGUACCGUGAGGGAAAGGCGAAAAGAACCCCGGCGAGGGGAGUGAAAAAGAACCUGAAACCGUGUACGUACAAGCAGUGGGAGCCUCUUUUAUGGGGUGACUGCGUACCUUUUGUAUAAUGGGUCAGCGACUUAUAUUCUGUAGCAAGGUUAACCGAAUAGGGGAGCCGAAGGGAAACCGAGUCUUAACUGGGCGUUAAGUUGCAGGGUAUAGACCCGAAACCCGGUGAUCUAGCCAUGGGCAGGUUGAAGGUUGGGUAACACUAACUGGAGGACCGAACCGACUAAUGUUGAAAAAUUAGCGGAUGACUUGUGGCUGGGGGUGAAAGGCCAAUCAAACCGGGAGAUAGCUGGUUCUCCCCGAAAGCUAUUUAGGUAGCGCCUCGUGAAUUCAUCUCCGGGGGUAGAGCACUGUUUCGGCAAGGGGGUCAUCCCGACUUACCAACCCGAUGCAAACUGCGAAUACCGGAGAAUGUUAUCACGGGAGACACACGGCGGGUGCUAACGUCCGUCGUGAAGAGGGAAACAACCCAGACCGCCAGCUAAGGUCCCAAAGUCAUGGUUAAGUGGGAAACGAUGUGGGAAGGCCCAGACAGCCAGGAUGUUGGCUUAGAAGCAGCCAUCAUUUAAAGAAAGCGUAAUAGCUCACUGGUCGAGUCGGCCUGCGCGGAAGAUGUAACGGGGCUAAACCAUGCACCGAAGCUGCGGCAGCGACACUGUGUGUUGUUGGGUAGGGGAGCGUUCUGUAAGCCUGUGAAGGUGUGCUGUGAGGCAUGCUGGAGGUAUCAGAAGUGCGAAUGCUGACAUAAGUAACGAUAAAGCGGGUGAAAAGCCCGCUCGCCGGAAGACCAAGGGUUCCUGUCCAACGUUAAUCGGGGCAGGGUGAGUCGACCCCUAAGGCGAGGCCGAAAGGCGUAGUCGAUGGGAAACAGGUUAAUAUUCCUGUACUUGGUGUUACUGCGAAGGGGGGACGGAGAAGGCUAUGUUGGCCGGGCGACGGUUGUCCCGGUUUAAGCGUGUAGGCUGGUUUUCCAGGCAAAUCCGGAAAAUCAAGGCUGAGGCGUGAUGACGAGGCACUACGGUGCUGAAGCAACAAAUGCCCUGCUUCCAGGAAAAGCCUCUAAGCAUCAGGUAACAUCAAAUCGUACCCCAAACCGACACAGGUGGUCAGGUAGAGAAUACCAAGGCGCUUGAGAGAACUCGGGUGAAGGAACUAGGCAAAAUGGUGCCGUAACUUCGGGAGAAGGCACGCUGAUAUGUAGGUGAAGUCCCUCGCGGAUGGAGCUGAAAUCAGUCGAAGAUACCAGCUGGCUGCAACUGUUUAUUAAAAACACAGCACUGUGCAAACACGAAAGUGGACGUAUACGGUGUGACGCCUGCCCGGUGCCGGAAGGUUAAUUGAUGGGGUCAGCGCAAGCGAAGCUCUUGAUCGAAGCCCCGGUAAACGGCGGCCGUAACUAUAACGGUCCUAAGGUAGCGAAAUUCCUUGUCGGGUAAGUUCCGACCUGCACGAAUGGCGUAAUGAUGGCCAGGCUGUCUCCACCCGAGACUCAGUGAAAUUGAACUCGCUGUGAAGAUGCAGUGUACCCGCGGCAAGACGGAAAGACCCCGUGAACCUUUACUAUAGCUUGACACUGAACAUUGAGCCUUGAUGUGUAGGAUAGGUGGGAGGCUUUGAAGUGUGGACGCCAGUCUGCAUGGAGCCGACCUUGAAAUACCACCCUUUAAUGUUUGAUGUUCUAACGUGGACCCGUGAUCCGGGUUGCGGACAGUGUCUGGUGGGUAGUUUGACUGGGGCGGUCUCCUCCUAAAGAGUAACGGAGGAGCACGAAGGUUGGCUAAUCCUGGUCGGACAUCAGGAGGUUAGUGCAAUGGCAUAAGCCAGCUUGACUGCGAGCGUGACGGCGCGAGCAGGUGCGAAAGCAGGUCAUAGUGAUCCGGUGGUUCUGAAUGGAAGGGCCAUCGCUCAACGGAUAAAAGGUACUCCGGGGAUAACAGGCUGAUACCGCCCAAGAGUUCAUAUCGACGGCGGUGUUUGGCACCUCGAUGUCGGCUCAUCACAUCCUGGGGCUGAAGUAGGUCCCAAGGGUAUGGCUGUUCGCCAUUUAAAGUGGUACGCGAGCUGGGUUUAGAACGUCGUGAGACAGUUCGGUCCCUAUCUGCCGUGGGCGCUGGAGAACUGAGGGGGGCUGCUCCUAGUACGAGAGGACCGGAGUGGACGCAUCACUGGUGUUCGGGUUGUCAUGCCAAUGGCACUGCCCGGUAGCUAAAUGCGGAAGAGAUAAGUGCUGAAAGCAUCUAAGCACGAAACUUGCCCCGAGAUGAGUUCUCCCUGACCCUUUAAGGGUCCUGAAGGAACGUUGAAGACGACGACGUUGAUAGGCCGGGUGUGUAAGCGCAGCGAUGCGUUGAGCUAACCGGUACUAAUGAACCGUGAGGCUUAACCUUACAACGCCGAAGGUGUUU